rnacentral:rRNA from 1 species
AUUGAACGCUGGCGGCAUGCCUUACACAUGCAAGUCGAACGGCAGCACGGGAGCAAUCCUGGUGGCGAGUGGCGAACGGGUGAGUAAUGUAUCGGAACGUGCCCAGUCGUGGGGGAUAACGUAGCGAAAGCUACGCUAAUACCGCAUACGAUCUGUGGAUGAAAGCGGGGGACCGUAAGGCCUCGCGCGAUUGGAGCGGCCGAUAUCAGAUUAGGUAGUUGGUGGGUAAAGGACUACCAAGCCGACGAUCUGUAGCUGGUCUGAGAGGACGACCAGCCACACUGGGACUGAGACACGGCCCAGACUCCUACGGGAGGCAGCAGUGGGGAAUUUUGGACAAUGGGCGCAAGCCUGAUCCAGCAAUGCCGCGUGCAGGAUGAAGGCCUUCGGGUUGUAAACUGCUUUUGUACGGAGCGAAAAGGCUCUCUCUAAUACAGGGGGCUCAUGACGGUACCGUAAGAAUAAGCACCGGCUAACUACGUGCCAGCAGCCGCAGUAA